GACGUAGGGCGCGAGCGUUGUCCGGAUUUAUUGGGCGUAAAGAGCUCGUAGGCGGCUUGUUGCGUCGACUGUGAAAACCCGCGGCUUAACUGCGGGCUUGCAGUUGAUACGGGCAGGCUAGAGUUCGGUAGGGGAGACUGGAAUUCCUGGUGUAGCGGUGAAAUGCGCAGAUAUCAGGAGGAACACCGGUGGCGAAGGCGGGUCUCUGGGCCGUAACUGACGCUGAGGAGCGAAAGCCAGGGGAGCGAACGGG
rnacentral:rRNA from 1 species